rnacentral:tRNA from 1 species
GCCGUUUUAGCUCAGUCUGGCAGAGCACCGGACUUUUAAUCCGGGGGACGUGGGUUCAAGCCCCACAAUCGGCA